rnacentral:lncRNA from 1 species
AAUAACAUUUGCAAUUUCAUUGCAGGAUGUUCAUGACGUAUGAAAGGCUAUUACCAAGGCACUGCUAUUAAAGGUGGACUAUUUCCAUUUGAUCACAAGUUAGCUUUGACGUGUUGUAGGAAAUAAGUUUUACACAAUAUCUCGAAGAUUUAAAUUUCUCUUUGUUCUUUUGCUAUGAAUGAUUAAGUACUGAAUUUUAACCUGUCUUUACUUGUACAUGCACACUUGUAGAAGAUCGAUUGUAUAUUUCCAUUUCCAGACUCAAAUUUA